GACGAACGCUGGCGGCGUGCUUAACACAUGCAAGUCGAACGGAAAUGCCCUGCUUUUGUGGGGUGCUCGAGUGGCGAACGGGUGAGUAACACGUGAGUAACCUGCCCUUGACUUUGGGAUAACUUCAGGAAACUGGGGCUAAUACCGGAUAGGAGCUCCUGCUGCAUGGUGGGGGUUGGAAAGUUUCGGCGGUUGGGGAUGGACUCGCGGCUUAUCAGCUUGUUGGUGGGGUAGUGGCUUACCAAGGCUUUGACGGGUAGCCGGCCUGAGAGGGUGACCGGCCACAUUGGGACUGAGAUACGGCCCAGACUCAUACGGGAGGCAGCAGUGGGGAAUAUUGCACAAUGGGCGGAAGCCUGAUGCAGCAAAGCCGCGUGCGGGAUGACGGCCUUCGGGUUGUAAACCGCUUUCGCCUGUGACGAAGCGUGAGUGACGGUAAUGGGUAAAGAAGCACCGGCUAACUACGUG
rnacentral:rRNA from 1 species